rnacentral:rRNA from 1 species
GACGAACGCUGGCGGCGUGCCUAAUACAUGCAAGUAGAACGCACAGUUUAUACCGUAGCUUGCUACACCAUAGACUGUGAGUUGCGAACGGGUGAGUAACGCGUAGGUAACCUGCCUGGUAGCGGGGGAUAACUAUUGGAAACGAUAGCUAAUACCGCAUAAUAUUAAUUAUUGCAUGAUAAUUAAUUGAAAGGUGCAAUUGCACCACUACCAGAUGGACCUGCGUUGUAUUAGCUAGUAGGUGAGGUAACGGCUCACCUAGGCGACGAUACAUAGCCGACCUGAGAGGGUGAUCGGCCACACUGGGACUGAGACACGGCCCAGACUCCUACGGGAGGCAGCAGUAGGGAAUCUUCGGCAAUGGACGAAAGUCUGACCGAGCAACGCCGCGUGAGUGAAGAAGGUUUUCGGAUCGUAAAGCUCUGUUGUAAGAGAAGAACGGGUGUGAGAGUGGAAAGUUCAAACUGUGACGGUAUCUUACCAGAAAGGGACGGCUAACUACGU